rnacentral:rRNA from 1 species
UACGGAGGGUGCAAGCGUUGUUCGGAUUUAUUGGGCGUAAAGAGCGUGUAGGCGGCUUGGUAAGUCAGAUGUGAAAGCCCUUGGCUUAACCAAGGAAGUGCAUUUGAAACUGCCAGGCUGGAGUACGGGAGGGGAAAGUGGAAUUCCCGGUGUAGAGGUGAAAUUCGUAGAUAUCGGGAGGAACACCGGUGGCGAAGGCGGCUUUCUGGACCGAUACUGACGCUGAGACGCGAAAGCGUGGGGAGCAAAC